rnacentral:snRNA from 1 species
GCUAAUUAUGGACAUUUUUGAUUAUAUAGUUUCAUAUAUGGUAUAGGAAUAAAAAAAUCUCUUUAUUUUUAAGGGAGAAGGUCCAUUAGAGUAGCUUGCUAUCCGGGCUUUCGCGCGUUGCUUUGGUGUUGCACUACAGCCAUAGACUGGCGAACCCCAC